AUUUAUAAGCGCCUGGGCAGUAUUCUACUGUUGACGAGGAAAGAGUUUAUCGAAAUAUUCGGCGGAUGGCUCUAUGGUAAUGUUACUACCAUUUAAGAAGCUUGUAAAAAAAUAGCAGUAAUGCUUUAGAACAAAGCAGGCUU
rnacentral:ncRNA from 1 species